rnacentral:rRNA from 1 species
GUGGGGAAUAUUGGGCAAUGGGGGAAACCCUGACCCAGCGACGCCGCGUGAGGGAAGAAGGCCUUAGGGUCGUAAACCUCUGUUGUGUGGGAAGAAGAGCGUGACGGUACCACACGAGGAAGUCCCGGCUAACUACGUGCCAGCAGCCGCGGUAAUACGUAGGGGACGAGCGUUGUCCGGAUUUACUGGGCGUAAAGGGCGCGUAGGCGGUCAUUUAAGUAAGCUGUGAAAUGGUUUGGCUUAACCGGAUCAUGCGGUUGAAACUGGAUGACUGGAGUGCUGGUGAGGCAAGUGAAAUUCCCAGUGUAGCGGUGAAAUGCGUAGAUAUUGGGAAGAACAACGGUGGCAAAGACGACUUGCUGGCCAGCAAAUGACGCUGAGGCGCGAAAGCCAGGGGAGCAAACGGGAUUAGAAACCCCGGUAGUCC